rnacentral:rRNA from 1 species
AACGUAGGACACGAGCGUUAUCCGGAGUUACUGGGCGUAAAGGGCGUUCAGGCGGGUGAUUAAGUUCGCUAUGAAAGCGCCGGGCUAAACCCGGCGAGGCUGGCGGAUACUGAUCAUCUGGAGUGAGUCAGAGGAAGGUAGAAUUCCGCGUGUAGUGGUGAAAUGCGUAGAUAUCAAGUGGAACACCAGUGGCGAAGGCGAGUCUCUGGACAUUUCCUGACGCUGAGGCACGAAAGCCAGGGGAGCAAACGGG